rnacentral:rRNA from 1 species
AGAGUUUGAUCCUGGCUCAGGAUGAACGCUAGCUAUCGGCUUAACACAUGCAAGUCCAGGGGCAGCAUCAUCAAAGCUUGCUUUGAUGGAUGGCGACCGGCGCACGGGUGAGUAACACGUAUCCAACCUGCCGACAACACUGGGAUAGCCUUUCGAAAGAAAGAUUAAUACCGGAUGGCAUCGUUUUUCCGCCUGGGCUGUUUCUUUUGGCAUUUCGGUUGUCGUUGGGGAUGCGUUCCGUUNGGCUGUUGGCGGGGUNNCGGCCCCCCNNCCCCUCGNUGGNUNGGGGUUCUGCGCGGNGGGUCCCCCNCCUUGGNNCUGNGNCNCGGUCCNNGCUCCUNCGGGNGGCGGCCGUGNGGNNUNUUGGUCNNUGGNCGNGNGUCUGNNCCCGCCCNGUNGCGUGNNGGNUGNCUGCCCUNUGGGUUGUNNNCUUCUUUUNUNCGGGNNUNNNGUUNGCCCCGUGUGGCUUUUUGUNUGUCCCGUNUGNNUNNGGUUCGGCUCNCUCCGUGCCCGCCGCCGCGGUNNUNCGGNGGCUCCGNGCGUUUUCCGGNUUUNUUGGGUUUNNNGGGNGCGUNGGCGGGUUGUUAGUUCAGUUGUGAAAGUUUGGGGUUCACCCGUAAAAAUUCCGUUUGUACUGGCGUCCUUGAGUGCAACAGAGGUAGGGGGAAUUCGUGGUGUAGCGGUGAAAUGUUUAGAUUUCACGAAGAACUCCGCUUGCGAAGGCCGCUUACUGGCUUGUAACUGACGCGGAUGCUCGAGAGUGUGGGUAUCAAACAGGAUUAGAUACCCUGGUAGUCCACACAGUAAACGAUGAAUACUCGCUGUUGGCGAUAUACGGUCAGCGGCCAAGCGAAAGCGUUAAGUAUUCCACCUGGGGAGUACGCCGGCAACGGUGAAACUCAAAGGAAUUGACGGGGACCCGCACAAGCAGUGGAUUAUGUGGUUUAAUUCGAAGCAACGCGAAGAACCUUACCAGCACUUGACAUCCGACUAACGAAGUAGAGAUACAUUAGGUGCCCUUCGGGGAAAGUCGAGACAGGUGGUGCAUGGUUGUCGUCAGCUCGUGUCGUGAGAUGUUGGGUUAAGUCCCGCAACGAGCGCAACCCCUGCCAUUAGUUGCUACGCAAGAGCACUCUAAUGGGACCGCUACCGACAAGGUGGAGGAAGGUGGGGACGACGUCAAAUCAUCAUGCCCCUUAUAUGCUGGGCUACACACGUAAUACAAUGGCCAUCAACAAAGAGAAGCAAUACCGCGAGGUGGAGCAAAACUUCAAAAAUGGUCUCAGUUCGGACUGCAGGCUGCAACCCGCCUGCACGAAGUUGGAAUUGCUAGUAAUCGUGGAUCAGCAUGCCACGGUGAAUACGUUCCCGGGCCUUGCACUCACCGCCCGUCAAG